AACGAACGCUGGCGGCGCGCUUAACACAUGCAAGUCGAACGAGAAGGGCGUAGCAAUACGCUUGUACAGUGGCGAACGGGUGAGGAAUACGUGGGUAACCUACCCUCGAGUGGGGGAUAACCCGCCGAAAGGCGGGCUAAUACCGCGUACGCUUCCGAUCUUGCGGGAUUGGAAGGAAAGCUGUCCCUUGGGGAUGGCGCUCAAGGAUGGGCUCAUGUCCUAUCAGCUUGUUGGAGGUAACGGCCUACCAAGGCAUCGACGGGUAGCUGGUCUGAGAGGACGAUCAGCCACACUGGCACUGCGACACGGGCCAGACUCCUACGGGAGGCAGCAGUGAGGAUAUUGCGCAAUGGGCGAAAGCCUGACGCAGCGACGCCGCGUGGGGG
rnacentral:rRNA from 1 species